GACGAACGCUGGCGGCGUGCCUAAUACAUGCAAGUAGAACGCAGUUGCGAACGGGUGAGUAACGCGUAGGUAACUGCCUCAUAGCGGGGGGUAACUAUUGGAAACGAUAGCUAAUACCGCAUACUUUGAGAUGGACCUGCGGUGUAUUAGCUAGUUGGUGAGGUAAAGGCGCACCAAGGCGACGAUCCAUAGCCGACCUGAGAGGGUGAGCGGGCACACUGGGACCUGGGCACGGCCCAGAAUCCGAACGGAGGCAGCAGUAGGGAAUCUUCGGCAAUGGAGGGAAGUCCGACCGAGCAAAGCCGCGUGAGUGAAGAAGGGUUUCGGAUCGGAAAGGUAUGUUGUUAGAGAAGCGGUAACUAAACAGAAAGGGACGGCUAACUACGUGCCAGCAGCCGCGGUAAUUC
rnacentral:rRNA from 1 species